UACGGAGGAUUCAAGCGUUAUCCGGAUUUAUUGGGUGUAAAGGGAGCGUAGACGGCGAGGUAAGCCUGAAGUGGAAGCCCGCGGCCCAACCGCGGAACUGCUUUGGGAACUGUUUUGCUGGAGUAUGGGAGGGGUAAGCGGAAUUCCUGGUGUAGCGGUGAAAUGCGUAGAUAUCAGGAGGAACACCGGUGGCGAAGGCGGCUUACUGGACCAUAACUGACGUUGAGGCUCGAAAGCGUGGGGAGCAAACAGG
rnacentral:rRNA from 1 species